UACGUAGGGUGCGAGCGUUGUCCGGAAUUAUUGGGCGUAAAGAGCUCGUAGGCGGCCUGUCGCGUCGGAUGUGAAAGCCCGGGGCUUAACCCCGGGUCUGCAUUCGAUACGGGCAGGCUAGAGUGUGGUAGGGGAGAUCGGAAUUCCUGGUGUAGCGGUGAAAUGCGCAGAUAUCAGGAGGAACACCGGUGGCGAAGGCGGAUCUCUGGGCCAAUACUGACGCUGAGGAGCGAAAGCGUGGGGAGCGAACAGG
rnacentral:rRNA from 1 species